GACGAACGCUGGCGGCGUGCCUAAUACAUGCAAGUAGAACGCUGGAGGAGGAGCUUGCUUCUCUGGAUGAGUUGCGAACGGGUGAGUAACGCGUAGGUAACCUGCCUGGUAGCGGGGGAUAACUAUUGGAAACGAUAGCUAAUACCGCAUAAUAGUAGAUGUUGCAUGACAUUUGCUUAAAAGGUGCAAUUGCAUCACUACCAGAUGGACCUGCGUUGUAUUAGCUAGUUGGUGGGGUAACGGCUCACCAAGGCGACGAUACAUAGCCGACCUGAGAGGGUGAUCGGCCACACUGGGACUGAGACACGGCCCAGACUCCUACGGGAGGCAGCAGUAGGGAAUCUUCGGCAAUGGACGGAAGUCUGACCGAGCAACGCCGCGUGAGUGAAGAAGGUUUUCGGAUCGUAAAGCUCUGUUGUAAGAGAAGAACGAGUGUGAGAGUGGAAAGUUCACACUGUGACGGUAUCUUACCAGAAAGGGACGGCUAACUACGUG
rnacentral:rRNA from 1 species